CUGUGCUGUACCCAGAAAUCGACACAUUGUAACUGACUAGACUUCAAUUAAAAAAAGAAAACGUAGUUGUUGGAAAGCAUGAAGCGCCACAUUGCAAAGGGUCUACCAUCAGGACAGUUUGGAAUAGAGAUGCAGGAUCAACAGUGUGUGAUGUCCCUUAACCAAACAGUAGGCGUAAUAUAUGAUGUCCCCAGCAUGGACUCCGGAGGCCCCUGGGGAUGCUGCUCAGUGUGUUGACCAAGAUCCAGGACCUACAGAGGGAAAUUCUGAAUGGAAUGCUGCUGAUGCAAGGAACUUCAAAAUCAGUAUGUUUUUUUCUCCCUAAAACAAGUUGGUAUUGGAAGUGCUGGGGGAAGAAAUGAGGAAGGAACCAGAAGAAAGGUCUAGGGAAACCAAAGAACCACAGGAUAUGAUGGAUGUGCUGGGUGGCUUCUGCUACGGAACUGUGGGUACCUUUAUCUGGUAUCACAUAUCUCCUUGACUUGGACAGAAGAUAACCCAGACUCGCAACCUGGAGAUUCUCCAACACAUUUUUCCUAAAUUAGACUGGAGAUAAUGCCCAUAAAGUACCAGAAAACUGCCCUCGCUUCACUGAGAAAGCUUCCCCUCAGAAGGGAAUAGGACAGCCUAGAUUCACUGAAUAUAGUCACUGCUUCAGAAUUUGGUGUGGAUACGUUGGAAUCUCCUGGCAAAUCAUCCCUAAAAAGAAGGGCCUGCACUUGCAGAUUGCUAGAAGAGGACAAUAUUUAAAGCAGGAAUAAAGUGCAAGGAAAAAGAAAGAAAGAAAGAAAGA